rnacentral:rRNA from 1 species
UACGUAGGGUGCAAGCGUUAAUCGGAGUUACUGGGCGUAAAGCGCACGCAGGCGGUCUGCUAAGUUUGGAGUGACAGUUGGUGGCUUAACUGCCAAAGUGCUUCGAAAACUGACAGACUUGAGGGCUUCAGAGGGACACGGAAUUCCGGGUGGAGUGGUGAAAUGCGUAGAGAUCCGGAGGAACACCAAAGGCGAAGGCAGUGUCCUGGGGAGUACCUGACGCUCAGGUGCGAAAGCCAGGGGAGCGAACGGG